CAGUCGCCACGGUAAUACGGAGGAUCCAAGCGUUAUCCGGAUUUAUUGGGUUUAAAGGGUGCGUAGGUGGCCUGUUAAGUCAGGGGUGAAAGACGGUAGCUUAACUAUCGCAGUGCCCUUGAUACUGAUGGGCUUGAAUGAACUAGAGGUAGGCGGAAUGUGACAAGUAGCGGUGAAAUGCAUAGAUAUGUCACAGAACACCAAUUGCGAAGGCAGCUUACUAUGGUUUUAUUGACACUGAGGCACGACAGCGUGGGGAUCAAACAGGAUUAGAUACCCCUGUAGUCCCUGUCUCUUAUAA
rnacentral:rRNA from 1 species